UCUCCGUUNGUGAACCAGCGGAGGGAUCAUUACAGAGGUUAUCCAAACUCCCAAACCCAUGUGAACUUACCUUUUGUUGCCUCGGCAGAAGUUAUAGGUCUUCUUAUAGCUGCUGCCGGUGGACCAUUAAACUCUUGUUAUUUUAUGUAAUCUGAGCGUCUUAUUUUAAUAAGUCAAAACUUUCAACAACGGAUCUCUUGGUUCUGGCAUCGAUGAAGAANGCAGC
rnacentral:misc_RNA from 1 species